rnacentral:lncRNA from 1 species
GGUGACUCGCUCUGACACUGGCACACAAGGCUGGAGGACGAUGCCGGGGUGGGGAUGGGAGACUAGACAAAAUCAUGUGGCUCUGACUCACAGGAAGUUAUUUUUCAAAAUCUUUACUAAGAUCAUAUGUCCAACAGCCUGUGCCAAGCCCUGUAAGAAAUCGACCGUGUAUUAUCAUUUCAUUGAAAGAAGAGUGAAAGGAAGGACCAAACACUGUAGGAAUGCUGGUCAGUGAAGCUUGUGAAGCUGGUGGCUAUGCCAUGAUGGGAAGUUUUGCCAUUUAUAUAAAAGCUCUCUGCUGUGCUUGAGUGAGUCAUGCUGACAGAGGAGCUCAAGGCCAGUGCUGUGUGAGAUAGUUGCACUCAGCAUGAAUGCUGCAUGCAGAUGCUCCUUGUCUCUGUGAACUGGAGAUGCCCUUCUUGCAGGACGUUUCAUUCUUCACUCUCCUCAAGAUCCUGCUCAGAUCCUCCCUGUAAUCUUGCCAUCUCUCUUUGCGACACUGCAGCUCACACCCUGGAUGACGCACUGCCAUUUCUUAGCUCAUUAUGUUGUGUGGCUGCAAGUCCUGCUGCAAAACCAGCACGGAAAGAAACAACACGCAAAAGUAACAAAGCUAGUCCAGCCUCAAAGGUGGAUAUGCAGCUACUGCGAGUCACACCUUAAUUUCACAAUAAAGCAACCUUGCA